UGAUCGGUAGCCGGCCUGAGAGGGCGCACGGCCACACUGGAACUGAAACACGGUCCAGACUCCUACGGGAGGCAGCAGUGGGGAAUUUUGCGCAAUGGGGGAAACCCUGACGCAGCAACGCCGCGUGGAGGAUGAAGCCCCUUGGGGUGUAAACUCCUUUCGAUCGGGACGAUAAUGACGGUACCGGAUGAAGAAGCACCGGCUAACUCUGUGCCAGCAGCCGCGGUAAUACAGAGGGUGCAAGCGUUGUUCGGAAUUAUUGGGCGUAAAGGGUGCGUAGGCGGUGCGGUAAGUCUGCUGUGAAAUCUCCGGGCUCAACUCGGAGCCUGCAACGGAAACUGCCGUGCUGGAGUAUGGGAGAGGUGUGUGGAAUUCCCGGUGUAGCGGUGAAAUGCGUAGAUAUCGG
rnacentral:rRNA from 1 species